rnacentral:rRNA from 1 species
AAUGAACGUUGGCGGCGUGGAUUAGGCAUGCAAGUCGAGGGAGAACCCGCAAGGGGGAAACCGGCGAACGGGGUAGGAUCACGUCGGUACGUACCCUCGGGACGGGGAUAGCCACGGGAAACUGUGGGUAAUACCCGAUGAUCUGGCCUGGAGUCAUUUCCGGGCCAGUAAAGGUGAGAUUCCGCCCGGGGAGCGGCUGACGCGCUACUAGCUUGUUGGUGAGGUAACGGCUCACCAAGGCGACGAUGGCUAGGGGGUGUGAGGGCAUGGCCCCCACCACUGGGACUGAGAUACUGCCCAGACACCUACGGGUGGCUGCAGUCGAGAAUCUUCGGGAAUGGGCGCAAGCCUGACCGAGCGACGCCGCGUGCGGGAUGAAGGUCUUCGGAUUGUAAACCGCUGUCGGGAGGGAUGAAGUGCAUGGGGGUUCUCCCCCGUGUUUGACAGAGCUCCGGAGGAAGCACGGGCUAAGUUCGUGCCAGCAGCCGCAGUAAUAC